rnacentral:siRNA from 1 species
UAGGUACUUCCGCAUUUACCCUC